GUGGCGGUGGUCACUGUAAUGGCUUUCAGAUCUGGCGACACUUUGCUCCGAAUAAAUCUUGGACAUUUUAGGGCUGGACCGCCAUCAUCAACCCGCUGAAGCCCUCUCUACUUGUCAUGGCCGCCGCCGCCUUAACGCCGCCGCUGCCUCCAGCUCCUCGCCGCCUCAACGCGGCCGCCGCUGCCUCACACCGAAAUCAAAUGGGUAUCAUCCACGUCCACUGCUGCCCUUCAAUACCGUCCAAUGAAAUAGCUGUUGUAUUCCUGGCAUUGUAUGAUGGGAAUAAUGAUCAAUCAAGAUCAUUUUGAAGUUAUAUUCGAGUGUACAAUGCAAUUAAUGCUUUUACGAGUCUUUGUAUUAUAUUGGAUCCUAGAGUACUCAGUGGAAGGGGCCCUAUAUCAUUCAUAAUUCAUGGAGAAUUACGACAUUGAAUAGGAUCACUACAACCACAACCAGGGCAAAAUGCGAGUUAUGCUCAAUUGUAUAUCUGACCCUAAAUUAGUUUUAGAAAUUUGUAAUGGUAGAAAUCCUAACUUGAGAAAGGAUGUUCUUAAAACUAUUCAAGAUAGUUUGUUGUAAAUCAAUGCAUUUGUAGAUAAAUUUCAUCAAGCUUGCCAUUUUACAUCAA